AGACAAUAGAUACCCGGGUAGUCCCAGCUGUAAACGAUGCAGACUCGGUGAUGAGUUGGCUAUAUGCCAUCUCAGUGCCGCAGGGAAGCCGUUAAGUUUGCCGCCUGGGGAGUACGGUCGCAAGACUGAAACUUAAAGGAAUUGGCGGGGAGCACCACAAGGGUGGAAGCCUGCGGUUCGUAAUUAGGUAGGUCAACGCCGGAAACGUACUUACCGGGGGUCGGACAGCAGUGUGAAGGUCAAGCUGAAGACUUUACCUAGACAAGCUGAGAGGAGGUGCAUGGCCGUCGCCACGCUCGUGCCGUGAGGUGUCCUGUUAAGUACAGGUAACGAGCGAGACCCCGUCGCCUCUAGUUGCUACCAUUAUUCUCAGGAGUAGUGGAGCUAAUUAGAGGGACGUGCCGUCGCUGAGACGGAGGAAGGAGGGGGUCGUACGGCGAGGUC
rnacentral:rRNA from 1 species